UACGUAGGGUGCGAGCGUUGUCCGGAAUUAUUGGGCGUAAAGAGCUCGUAGGCGGUUUGUCGCGUCGGCCGUGAAAACUCAGGGCUUAACCCUGAGCUUGCAGUGGGUACGGGCAGACUAGAGUGCGGUAGGGGAGACUGGAAUUCCUGGUGUAGCGGUGAAAUGCGCAGAUAUCAGGAGGAACACCGGUGGCGAAGGCGGGUCUCUGGGCCGUAACUGACGCUGAGGAGCGAAAGCAUGGGGAGCGAACAGG
rnacentral:rRNA from 1 species